AGUAUUGGUGGGAGGGGACGGUGGUGCGGGGUGAGGGGAUCCGCACUGUGCUACAGGCACAAGAGGAGAGUCGUACGGACACCGGCUCAGGGAGAGUAGUAAAGGGAGGAGGGGCGCUGAAGCAGAGGGCAUGUUGUCGUAUAGCCGAGCUGUCUGAGAGGUAGUCCAGUUGGACCUUACCGGUGCUAAUCCCUGUGGCAAAGGCGAGGGUGGAGGACCGCUAUGAGGCACCUACUAGCAAGCUAAUAGUGAUACAACCAUGGCUCAGUUUGGAACUCCGUUUGGGGGUAAUUUGGACAUCUGGGCCAUAACGGUGGAGGAACGAGCUAAACAUGACCAGCAGUUCCAUGGGCUCAAGCCAACAGCUGGAUAUAUCACAGGUGACCAAGCUAGGAAUUUUUUCCUUCAGUCCGGCCUCCCCCAGCCUGUGCUGGCACAGAUAUGGGCCCUGGCUGACAUGAACAAUGAUGGGAGGAUGGACCAACUGGAGUUCUCCAUAGCUAUGAAAUUAAUCAAGCUAAAACUACAAGGUUACCCGUUGCCCUCUAUUCUCCCUUCCAAUAUGUUGAAGCAACCGGUUGCCAUGCCUGCUGCUGCUGUUGCGGGGUUCGGGAUGAGUGGAAUCGUGGGCAUUCCUCCCCUAGCAGCUGUAGCCCCUGUGCCAAUGCCAUCCAUCCCAGUAGUAGGAAUGUCUCCUCCUCUUGUGUCCUCUGUCCCCACAGUUCCACCCUUGUCUAAUGGGGCUCCUGCAGUAAUACAGUCUCAUCCUGCUUUCGCUCACUCUGCCACAUUGCCAAAGAGUUCUUCAUUCGGCCGCUCAGUUGCCGGGUCCCAGAUAAACACUAAACUUCAGAAAGCUCAGUCCUUCGAUGUUCCAGCCCCACCACUUGUCGUUGAAUGGGCUGUGCCAUCGUCUUCAAGAUUGAAGUACAGACAAUUGUUCAACAGCCAGGACAAAACCAUGAGUGGGAAUUUAACAGGUCCUCAGGCAAGAACUAUUCUUAUGCAGUCAAGUUUACCGCAAAGCCAGCUAGCUACAAUAUGGAAUCUUUCAGACAUUGACCAAGAUGGAAAACUAACAGCCGAAGAAUUUAUAUUAGCUAUGCACUUAAUAGAUGUGGCCAUGUCUGGCCAGCCACUUCCUCCAAUCCUGCCUCCAGAGUAUAUUCCCCCAUCUUUUAGAAGAGUUCGAUCAGGGAGUGGGUUAUCCAUUAUGAGCUCUGUGUCUGUUGAUCAGCGCUUGCCGGAGGAACCAGAAGAAGAGGAGCCACAAAACGCGGACAAAAAGCUCCCAGUGACAUUUGAAGACAAGAAAAGGGAGAACUUUGAGCGAGGAAACCUAGAAUUAGAAAAGAGGAGACAGGCACUUUUAGAGCAGCAGCGCAAAGAGCAGGAGAGGUUGGCUCAGCUGGAAAGGGCAGAGCAGGAGAGAAAAGAACGAGAGCGGCAAGAUCAAGAGCGGAAGCGGCAGCAAGACCUGGAAAAACAGCUGGAGAAACAACGAGAACUGGAGCGGCAACGGGAAGAGGAGCGCAGAAAAGAAAUCGAAAGGAGAGAGGCGGCAAAAAGAGAACUAGAAAGGCAACGGCAGUUGGAGUGGGAACGAAACAGAAGGCAAGAACUCCUUAAUCAAAGGAAUAGAGAGCAAGAGGACAUUGUUGUCUUAAAAGCAAAGAAGAAGACUCUAGAGUUUGAGCUGGAAGCUCUAAAUGAUAAAAAGCACCAGUUGGAAGGAAAACUCCAGGAUAUCCGGUGUCGCCUCACUACUCAACGGCACGAAAUAGAAAGCACUAACAAAUCCAGGGAACUGAGGAUCGCAGAGAUCACACACUUGCAGCAGCAGCUUCAGGAAUCUCAGCAGCUGCUUGGAAAAAUGAUUCCUGAGAAACAGUCCCUUAACGAUCAAUUAAAGCAGGUUCAACAAAACAGUUUGCACAGAGAUUCCUUGCUUACACUAAAAAGGGCAUUGGAAACCAAGGAGAUUGGACGCCAGCAGCUCCGAGAUCAGUUAGAUGAAGUAGAAAAAGAAACGCGAGCUAAGCUUCAGGAAAUCGACGUAUUUAAUAACCAAUUAAAGGAACUGAGAGAAUUGUACAACAAGCAGCAGUUCCAGAAACAGCAGGACUUUGAAACUGAGAAGAUCAAGCAGAAAGAGCUGGAACGGAAAACCAGCGAGCUGGAUAAGCUGAAGGAGGAGGACAAAAGGCGGAUGCUAGAGCACGACAAGCUUUGGCAGGAUCGCGUGAAGCAGGAAGAGGAACGUUACAAAUUCCAAGAUGAGGAGAAAGAAAAAAGGGAAGAAUCCAUUCAGAAGUGCGAGGUGGAAAAGAAACCAGAGAUCCAGGAGAAACCCAACAAACCGUUCCACCAACCUCCAGAGCCUGGAAAACUAGGAGGGCAGAUUCCCUGGAUGAAUACGGAGAAAGCCCCUCUAACGAUCAACCAGGGCGAUGUGAAGGUUGUGUAUUACCGAGCACUCUACCCUUUUGAUGCCCGAAGUCAUGAUGAAAUCACUAUUGAGCCUGGAGACAUUAUCAUGGUGGAUGAAAGCCAAACCGGAGAGCCUGGGUGGCUGGGAGGUGAACUGAAAGGAAAAACGGGCUGGUUUCCUGCCAACUAUGCAGAGCGAAUGCCCGAGAGUGAAUUUCCAAGCACAACUAAACCAGCAGCAGAAACUACAGCCAAACCCACUGUCCAUGUGGCACCUUCCCCUGUUGCACCUGCAGCUUUUACAAAUACAUCUACAAAUUCCAACAACUGGGCAGACUUCAGCUCAACGUGGCCAACCAAUAACACUGAUAAAGUAGAGAGUGAUAACUGGGAUACAUGGGCAGCUCAACCAUCUCUAACUGUUCCCAGUGCUGGUCAGCACAGACAGCGCUCUGCUUUUACCCCAGCAACUGUAACUGGAUCAUCGCCAUCUCCUGUACUUGGUCAGGGUGAAAAAGUAGAAGGCCUUCAGGCACAAGCCUUGUAUCCUUGGAGAGCAAAGAAGGACAACCAUCUUAAUUUUAACAAAAAUGAUGUUAUCACGGUUCUUGAACAGCAGGAUAUGUGGUGGUUUGGGGAAGUUCAAGGUCAAAAGGGCUGGUUUCCCAAAUCCUAUGUAAAGCUUAUAUCCGGUCCACUAAGGAAAUCUACAAGCAUCGAUUCCACGUCUUCAGAAAGCCCAGCGAGUUUAAAGAGAGUCUCUUCACCAGCAUUUAAACCUGCCAUCCAAGGAGAAGAAUACAUAUCCAUGUACACAUAUGAGAGCAACGAGCAAGGAGACUUGACCUUUCAGCAAGGAGAUCUGAUUGUGGUGAUUAAAAAAGAUGGCGACUGGUGGACUGGCACGGUGGGAGAGAAGACUGGGGUUUUCCCUUCCAACUACGUGAGGCCCAAAGACUCGGAGGCGGCUGGAAGCGGAGGAAAGACAGGAAGUCUUGGGAAGAAACCAGAAAUUGCCCAGGUUAUUGCAUCUUAUGCAGCAACUGGUCCUGAACAGCUAACACUGGCUCCUGGCCAACUUAUCCUCAUCCGAAAAAAGAAUCCAGGAGGAUGGUGGGAAGGAGAGCUGCAGGCACGUGGGAAGAAGCGGCAGAUUGGAUGGUUUCCAGCAAAUUAUGUUAAGCUUUUGAGCCCUGGCACAAAUAAAAGCACGCCAACGGAACCACCCAAACCAACGUCAUUGCCUCCUACAUGCCAAGUUAUCGGGAUGUACGAUUAUAUCGCGCAGAAUGACGACGAGUUGGCCUUCAGUAAAGGGCAGGUGAUUAACGUGCUGAACAAAGAGGAUCCCGACUGGUGGAAAGGAGAACUGAAUGGCCAUGUUGGUCUGUUUCCCUCCAACUACGUGAAACUGACCACAGACAUGGAUCCUAGUCAGCAAUGAUUUUAAAAAGGGAAACAUAGGGAUUUUAGAAAAUAUGCCUCUGAUGAAGCUGUGAGAAACUGCAAAACGCGUUAGGUGAAUGCACAUCGGUCCAUUACAAGCACCACGAGGAGGUCUGAAUCCGUCCGGCAAGACCACCCUCUGGGACUUUGUAGCUACAACAAUUGGACUGGAUGCGAUUACAUUAAGUGAAAGAAAUGUGAGUGCAUUUAUUGUUGUUUUUAAGAAGUUUAAAUAAAACGGUAUUAUACUAUCUCCGGUUUCUAUCCCCACUCUGGAGUUUGCAGAGAGUGCGAGGUCUGACAAGGAUCGCAUAAGAGGAUUUAAUAGACACGCUACACCACAAGAGUGGUUUGAAUCAUAUGUUGUCCAUCCCCCUACUCAGGCUUGAAAGUCCUCAAAGAGACCCACUAUCCCCAAUUCACUGCCCCGAGGGAUGAUGGGAGAUGCAGCCUUGAUCAUGUGACUUCCAGCAUGAUCCCCCUACUGCCUUGUGACUAGAAGAAAGCUGCACAGCAGUUGUACCUCCUAUUCAAUGCAUGGCACCACAAUGUUGUAUCUGCACACCCACAAGCAAAAUGUCACACAGUUUAGAGGAUAGUGGGUCCUUUUGUGGCUUUCUCCAUUCUCCAAAUAGUAUUUCAUUUAACUGGUGCUUUGCCAUUGAUUUUUAGUUCAUUUUUAGGAUGUUUUUAUCCCUGCACGCCAAGUAAAAGAAGGGAAGGGGGAGGGAUACAAAAUGGUGAAAAGGUUUUAUUGCAACCUGUUUUUGUGCAAAAAGACCCACUAUCAAGGAAUGCUGCAUGUGCUAUUAAUAAUGUGUCAUAUGUCCGAAAUGUUUUAUUUUAUUUCCAUUAUUAGUCUUUAUGUGUCCAGUGUUAGUUCUUAUUAUACCCGAAGUAUGUUCCUAUACAAUACAGUAAUAAUAGGAAUAUUCCAGGUAGAUUCCAGUGUCCCGUGGCUGGGUAACCUCCCGUCCUGUAGCAGGUGUGGAACGGAGAUUCCCCGCAACCUCUUUCCAGUUCAGCUGUUGGGGAGGGUGAGGGUCACUUGUUUUUGAGGAAAACAGACUUUUUGGGGCUCUGCAGGGCUGGGCCAAGCUGAUCAGGCGCCCUAGACAACCUGGCCAGCAAUCCCUCCCCCAUACAUGUGUGAACGUGAGCAUGAGCACCUUGAUGUGGAGGAGGUGAGGCAGCUGCAGAGGGGAGGGCCGGAGACGGGAAGCGGCAGAGGGGAGGGCCGCAGUGGGGAGGGGAAGCGGCAAAGAGGAGGGUCACAGUGGGAAGAGGAAGCAGCAGAGUGGAGGGACGGAGUGAGAAGAGAAGGGAAAGAGGGGAUGGCCAGAGUGGGGAGGGGAAGCGACAGAGGGGAGGGCUGGAGUGGGCGCGGCAGAGCGGAGGGCCCGAGUGGGGAGGGUAGACCAGCACAAGGAAGCAACUACAAACUGGAGGUGGGCAGAAGAGGUAACUGCAAAGCAACCACCCAUUGUUGUGCUCUAGGCAGGUGCCUCUUCUGAUCACCCCUAGUUCCGGCCCUGGGUCUCCGUUAUGCUGUGGGCUGAUACUCUGUGGUAUCCAACUGAAUGAGGCUGAACACACGAGCCAUUCGAGUGGCCCUACAUUGUUCCAGGGGGUGGGUGCAAUGAUUUCCACAAGUGCUACAGUUCUGGAGGUUGCCCAGUCUUGUCACUGAAGGCGUCAGUAGUGACUCUUUUUAAAUGCAGAAGAACCGGCUCCUUCCCGUGCAAUGGUCCCUGCUCGUUCACACGCUCACUGCUUCCAGUAUUUAUGGCAUAGGAGGAGUGUAUUAUACUGUUAUAUUUUGCACAUAUAGUUGAGUACAUGCAUCCCUGUUUUUAACUGUCAUUAUAUAAAUAUAUAUAUUAUAUAUUAUAAUUUUUUACUCUUAUUGGGGAUACUUUCACUAAUGUUCAUUUAUACAGACUUUCUCCCCCCCCCUCUUUAUUUUUUAAUCCAUUCAUUCUAAGAAAGUAUUGUGUCUGAGGGGUAUGUGUCCCGCUCAGAGGGUCAUUUUUUGUUUGUUUUUUUUUUUUAAAUAUUUUUAACGUAACUCAUGACAAAGAAUGUAUACACUAUUUUUAACCUGGAAGUAAUUGCAAUGUUUACAUCAUUUUUUAUUAUUAUUAUUUUAUCAAUAAGUAGAACUGUGGAAUUUUGAUAUCCUUUUCCCCAUACGCAGCUUACAGUGUUACGUCUUGUUCUGUUCUGUCCAUUAACUGUUUCACUCAACACUAGAAUUUGUUUUCAAUUAAAGCAGUCCGUUUAGGAGUUAAACCAGCAGGUGGAAUACCGGCAACAGGAGACCGCCCGUUUAUUUUAUUUCCGUUCCGUGACGGCCCCUCCUUGUUGCCGAAUGCGUUCCAGGCUCCCCCUCUCUCAGUUGUGAUGAUUAAAUUCCGUUGUUUCACUGCACCUCGAUUUUGUCCUGAUAUGAAUGUAAAAUAUAUAAAUAUAUAAACCCUACAGCUUUAACAACUGUAAAACAGCCUUUACAAUCAGUAACAUGUAUAGAUAAUUAAAUUCUUCUUAUAAAACCAA